rnacentral:rRNA from 1 species
UAGGAAUCUUCCACAAUGGGCGAAAGCCUGAUGGAGCGACGCCGCGUGAAGGAUGAAGGUCUUCGGAUCGUAAACUUCUAAAAGAGGGACGAUAAUGACGGUACCUCUUGAAAAGCACCGGCUAACUCCGUGCCAGCAGCCGCGGUAAUACGGAGGGUGCUAGCGUUAUCCGGAAUCACUGGGCGUAAAGGGCGCGUAGGCGGUCUGUUAAGUCUGAUGUUAAAGACUGGGGCUCAACCCCAGCAAUGCGUUGGAUACUGGCAGACUCGACGGUUGGAGAGGCAAGUGGAAUUACCAGUGUAGCGGUGGAAUGCGUAGAUACUGGUAGGAACACCCAUUGCGAAGGCAGCUUGCUGGACAACACGUGACGCUGAGGCGCGAAAGUGUGGGGAGCAAAC